AAUAGCAACAUUACCACCCUCUAAGCUGAACUCAUCAGAUCUCAGAAGCUAAACCAGAUUGGGGCAGACCAAUACUGGGAUAGAAGACUUCAAGGGAAAACCAGGUUGCUAUUG
rnacentral:rRNA from 1 species